GCAAAUUAUAUUCUUGUCCUUCACACUCAAGUUGUUGACCAAACACCAUUGUCGGCUUCGGAUAUAAAUAGCGGAUGGGUCGCAGUGUAUUGUCACUCGAAUUCUGCCUUCGAAGAACUCGCAAGCAACAUGAAACUCUUCGCCAUCCUGUUCUCCUUCUUCCUCAUCAUGUCCAUGGUCAUGGCCGAGCCAGUCCCCGACCCUGAACCCUUCCCCGGCCGUAGCAAAGGACACGGCGGUGGAGGCGGCGGCAGAGGCUACGGCAAAGGGCGCGGCGGCGGCGGCGGAGGACAUGGCAAAGGGCACCGCAAAGGCUACGGAAAAUGAUUAGAUAGAAUUUUUCAAUGACCGAAAUAACGGCGUUAUUUAUGGCAUUAAGUUAUUCACCAUGGUCUAAGAUUUUAUAUAAAUGUAAUCUUUUUUUUUUUUAUUAAAGUGACAUUUUGCAGAUUUGUAAAAAUCAAUGUUUUGUAAAUUUCAGAAUUAUGGUCUGGCAAUGGCCGGAAUAAUCACUUUAUUUAUGGCAGUAAAUUAUUCACAAUGAUGAUAAUAAGGUUAAAAAAUCUGCUUAUUUAAAUAAAUUUUUUUCUAUUCAAGUGAUAUUUUGAAGUGUGUUGUAAAAGUCACUGGGUUGUAAAUUUCUAAAUUAUGGCCCUGUAAAUGACCAAAAUCACGUUAUUUAUGGCCUUAAAUUAUUCACAAUGAUGAUAAGAAUAAUGAUUCUGGUGACGUGUCCCUUUACUCUGGCUUAUUGUAAUUGAUUUACAUAACUUUCAUUAAAGUGAUAUUUUGAAGUUUUCUGUGAAAAAUAUCACGGUUUUGUAAAUUUAAUAAUCAUAUCACUUUCAUCUUCAAACAAGGCCUUUUCACCCUACAACAAAAUUUCCUUAACUUUAGCUUGUAAAAACUGAUUUAAAUAACUCUUUCAUUCAAGUGAUAUUUUGAAAUUUUUGCAAAAGAAAAUCAUGGUUUGGUAAAUGUCAAAAUUAUGGUCCCUUCAAUUCAUAACAGAAAUUCUGUGUAGUAUAAUCAAGUAAAAUGUGCUUCAUGGAAGCCAUUCCAUUUUCUUGUUAAUCUUUUAUAAAACAACUUCAUUUAUUUUGAUGAAAUCAUUGUCAUGGAUUUUAUCAAAUUUUUUUUCAUUUUACUCUUGAUUUUCUGUAUCAUAUUCAAAACGAAUCUAAGGCUAAACCACAUUUAUUUAUGCAAUACCGAUCUUUUUUAACUCACUGUUCUUGAAAAUUGCUUCCAAUAAACUACGACUUGA